rnacentral:sRNA from 1 species
AGCUAUGAUCUACCCCGGGGCCCAGACUUCAGGGGCCUUCACGAUGCCGGCGGUCAGUGGUCCAGGUCCCUUGUUCUGCCUUCUCCUCCUGCUCCUGGACCCCCACAGCCCUGAGACGGGGUGUCCUCCUCUACGCAGGUUUGAGUACAAGCUCAGCUUCAAAGGCCCAAGGCUGGCAUUGCCUGGGGCUGGAAUACCCUUCUGGAGCCAUCAUGGAGCGGGCCUGUGGCUGGCCAUGAGAACUGGGGGCUACCUGGAGGGAAGCAUCCUCAUCCCAGACGCCAUCCUGGGCCUGGAGGAAGUGCGGCUGACGCCAUCCAUGAGGAACCGGAGUGGCGCCGUGUGGAGCAGGGCCUCUGUCCCCUUCUCUGCCUGGGAAGUAGAGGUGCAGAUGAGGGUGACGGGACUGGGGCGCCGGGGAGCCCAGGGCAUGGUGAGUGUCCUCUCCCAGAGCUGACAGAGCGGGGUGGGUCAGGGAGGCGGGUGAUGAGCCCCGGGGUCCCAGUAUCCCACACGGUUCCCUGAGCUGAGGGGCUGGGGACCUGCAGGCCCUGUGGUACACCCGGGGCAGG